rnacentral:rRNA from 1 species
UACGGGGGGGGUAAGCGUUGUUCGGAAUUACUGGGCGUAAAGGGCUCGUAGGCGGCCAACUAAGUCAUACGUGAAAUCCCUCAGCUUAACUGGGGAACUGCGUGUGAUACUGGAUGGCUUGGAUUUGGGAGAGGGAUGCGGAAUUCCAGGUGUAGCGGUGAAAUGCGUAGAUAUUGGGAAGAACACCGGUGGCGAAGGCGGCGACCUGGUCCAUUACUGACGCUGAGGCGCGACAGCGUGGGGAGCAAACAGG